rnacentral:rRNA from 1 species
GACGUAGGGUGCGAGCGUUGUCCGGAUUUAUUGGGCGUAAAGAGCUCGUAGGCGGCUCGUCGCGUCGACCGUGAAAACCCGCAGCUUAACUGCGGGCUUGCGGUUGAUACGGGCGGGCUAGAGUUCGGUAGGGGAGACUGGAAUUCCUGGUGUAGCGGUGAAAUGCGCAGAUAUCAGGAGGAACACCGAUGGCGAAGGCAGGUCUCUGGGCCGAUACUGACGCUGAGGAGCGAAAGCGUGGGGAGCGAACAGG